rnacentral:rRNA from 1 species
UACGUAGGGCGCAAGCGUUAUCCGGAAUUAUUGGGCGUAAAGAGCUCGUAGGCGGUUUGUCGCGUCUGCCGUGAAAGUCCGGGGCUCAACUCCGGAUCUGCGGUGGUACGGGCAGACUAGAGUGAUGUAGGGGAGACUGGAAUUCCUGGUGUAGCGGUGAAAUGCGCAGAUAUCAGGAGGAACACCGAUGGCGAAGGCAGGUCUCUGGGCAUUAACUGUCGCUGAGGAGCGAAAGCAUGGGGGAGCGAACAGG